rnacentral:rRNA from 1 species
UACGGAGGGGGCUAGCGUUGUUCGGAAUUACUGGGCAUAAAGCGCACGUAGGCGGCUUUGUAAGUUAGAGGUGAAAGCCCAGGGCUCAACCCUGGAAUUGCCUUUAAGACUGCAUCGCUUGAACAUCGGAGAGGUAAGUGGAAUUCCGAGUGUAGAGGUGAAAUUCGUAGAUAUUCGGAAGAACACCAGUGGCGAAGGCGACUUACUGGACGAUUGUUGACGCUGAGGUGCGGAAGCGUGGGGAGCAAACAGG